CCUACGGGUUGCACCAGUGGGGAAUAUCGGACAAUGGGCGCAAGCCUGAUCCAGCCAUGCCGCGUGAGUGAUGAAGGCCUUAGGGUUGUAAAGCUCUUUCACCGAUGAAGAUAAUGACGGUAGUCGGAGAAGAAGCCCCAGCUAACUUCGUGCCAGCAGCCGCGGUAAUACGAAGGGGGCUAGCGUUGUUCGGAAUUACUGGGCGUAAAGCGCACGUAGGCGGAUAUUUAAGUCAGGGGUGAAAUCCCGCAGCUCAACUGCGGAACUGCCUUUGAUACUGGGUAUCUUGAGUAUGGAAGAGGUAAGUGGAAUUCCGAGUGUAGAGGUGAAAUUCGUAGAUAUUCGGAGGAACACCAGUGGCGAAGGCGGCUUACUGGUCCAUUACUGACGCUGAGGUGCGAAAGCGUGGGGAGCAAACAGGAUUAGAUACCCGUGUAGUC
rnacentral:rRNA from 1 species